rnacentral:rRNA from 1 species
UAGGGAAUCUUCCGCAAUGGACGCAAGUCUGACGGAGCAACGCCGCGUGAGUGAAGAAGGAUUUCGGUUCGUAAAACUCUGUUGUUAGAGAAGAACAGCGCAUAGAGUAACUGUUAUGCGUGUGACGGUAUCUAACCAGAAAGCCACGGCUAACUACGUGCCAGCAGCCGCGGUAAUACGUAGGUGGCAAGCGUUGUCCGGAUUUAUUGGGCGUAAAGCGAGCGCAGGCGGUCAAUUAAGUCUGAUGUGAAAGCCCCCGGCUCAACCAGGGGGGGUCAUUGGAAACUGGUUGACUUGAGUGCAGAAGAGGAGAGUGGAAUUCCAUGUGUAGCGGUGAAAUGCGUAGAUAUAUGGAGGAACACCAGUGGCGAAGGCGACUCUCUGGUCUGUAACUGACGCUGAGGCUCGAAAGCGUGGGUAGCAAACAGG